rnacentral:lncRNA from 1 species
UAAACCCUAGGAUCUCUCUAAAUAUGGACAUUCACCUUAAAUAGAAUAUUUUAUAACACAUACAAAGAUCCAAAACGGCAAUGUAACUCUCCUUUUUUACUCCUGAAAAAGGAAACUUUGGUUACUGUAUGCAAAACCCAUUGUCUCUUAGGCUCCCAGCAUCAUUGUAAUUACCUCUAGAAGUGUUGGUCCAACCAGAACCAGGAGUUGGUGCUUGAUACGCCGUUGAACAAGGACUACCUACUCCUGAUAUGACGUUGAACAAGAACUACAAUAACAAUAACAAUUACCCAGUAUAUUCCCACAAAGUGGGAUGUGGGGAGGGUAAUAUGUAGACGGGCCUUACCCCUACCCGAAAGGGCAGACAGGCUGUUUCCAAUCGACCCUCGGCUUAGUGAAGGAAAGUAACAACAAAAACAAAAACAAAAGAGCAUUAGUAACUUCAGCAGAAAUAGCGUAAAUAAUUAUAUAAACAUAAGAACCAUAAAUAAAAUAACAUGCACAGUGAAGUAAAGGAACAACAAAAACAAAAUCAACAAAAGAGCAUUAGUAACUUCAACAUAAAUACCGUAAAUAAUUAUCUAAACAUAAAAAUCUAAAAAUAAAAAAACAUAAAAACUAUAAAUAAAAUAGCAUGCAAUAAUAUCAGACAGUAACUAGCAUAAGACAAAAUCCAAUACACAAAUCAUCUAUGANN